rnacentral:rRNA from 1 species
CGCGGCCUAUCAGCUUGUUGGUGAGGUAACGGCUCACCAAGGCAUCGACGGGUAGCUGGUCUGAGAGGACGAUCAGCCACACUGGGACUGAGACACGGCCCAGACUCCUACGGGAGGCAGCAGUAGGGAAUCUUGCGCAAUGGGCGAAAGCCUGACGCAGCAACGCCGCGUGGGGGAUGAAUGCCUUCGGGUUGUAAACCCCUUUCAGCAGGGACGAAAAUGACGGUACCUGCAGAAGAAGCUCCGGCCAACUACGUGCCAGCAGCCGCGGUAAUACGUAGGGAGCGAGCGUUGUCCGGAAUUAUUGGGCGUAAAGAGCUCGUAGGCGGUUCAGUAAGUCGGGUGUGAAAACUCAAGGCUCAACCUUGAGACGCCACUCGAUACUGCUGUGACUCGAGUCCGGUAGAGGAGUGUGGAAUUCCUGGUGUAGCGGUGAAAUGCGCAGAUAUCAGGAGGAACACCAGCGGCGAAGGCGGCACUCUGGGCCGGUACUGACGCUGAGGAGCGAAAGCAUGGGGAGCAAACAGGAUUAGAUACCCUGGUAGUCCAUGCCGUAAACGUUGGGCACUAGG